rnacentral:lncRNA from 1 species
CAAAACCAGGCAUUGUGUGGGAAAGAUUCCCUACCAGGAUAUGAGCUGGAGGAAGCCCUGUCUCCCCAGUGGGCAGGCUUGCUUUGGGGCACAUCCAGUAUGGUCCUGGUGUUUCAUUAGCAGAAGAGUCAACAAAGCUGCAGGCAACAGCCGGAGAACAGAAGUUAUUCAGUUCUUUCAUAAAAAAAAAUAAGCUCUGUCCUUUUCUCAGCCAGUGCCCUCCAUACUCUUUGGUUUAAUAACAAGGGUGACAUUUCGAGGCCUGGGGAACUCUUCCAGCCUGUCUUCACUUUCAUAUUUCAGCUAUUUUCUGAGAUAAAUGAAAGGCCUAGAGCCAGCUGCCCGUCUGAGGUGUGUCACCUGCAUGCUGGAGCAGAGAUGGGGUGUCUGUAGUUCGUUGGAAUUGGUGCUUUCUUCCUGAAUGUAGAAACAAAUCCGUGAAUGUAAGUGUACCUGGCAGGUUAUGGGGAUUCCUUAACUUUAUUUUAAGGGGAUGCAGAAGCAUCCUCCUGCCUGAUGCCCACUAUUUUUGUGUGUAUGUUGUCAUGGGAUUUCUUGCAGCUGUUGCACAUGCCCUGCAUGUCUGUUCCUGGAACCAGUGGGGAAAUGAAAAAACAUCUCCUGUGGACAGGGGAGGGAAAGCAGUGUUGAGGGCAUUGAGAAAUCCCUCUUCCUCUGCAGGAAGGUUCAUUUGUGUCCUGUGUUCCUUUGAUCAGGUGUGGAGCUGACAGACAUUGUUGCUGAGUUUGUUGCUGCUGUCAUUUCUGUUUGUGUUUUGAAUCUGAAGGGCAAAUUUCAUUUAAAUCAACCGUGGUCACAAGUAAUCAAAGCUAAUGAGCAGGUUCCUGUCUGUAUUAAGCUCUGCAGCACCAAUUGGGCUGAGCAAGUUCUCCCCACCCUUCCGCGGGCCCUUCGGCUACACGUGCGUGGCUUCACCUGCGGCAGCUCCCAGGACAGGCUGGCUCAGCUCCUGCGAGCAGAGGAUGGCAGUUCCUUCAGACAGGCACGUGGUGGUGAGUCUGGGGGAUCAUCCUCUGCCAGGUUCCUGGCCAAGGGCUGCCCCAUUUCUCUGGAGCUCCUACCAGCCUGGUGGGUGGCCGUGAGGCUCCAAACUGAGAGGAAGGGGGAGGGAAGGAGGCAGGGUAUAAAUAAGGAUGUUGCUGCAUGACUCUACCUACAUCUGGGAUUUAAGCUCCCAUCUAGCCAGCUCACUCAUACAUGCAUGUAUUUUGGGUUUUCGAAGAGUGGGAGUAGUCUGGUCAAAUUUUCCUUUUGCAUUUUCAAUUUGCUUCUCUCCACCCCCACCAAAUGUCUCUCUCUAGCAGGAAAAGACCAGGAGAGCAGAGUGCCUGGCAAAGAUCUGCCAGAUACACAACCACCUGCAGAUAAAAAACAAUAAAUCAAAGGCCUGAUUAGUUAUCCCUGUAUUG